CCCAUCUCAGCUCAGAGACUGCUCUGAUCUUCUUGCUGAGGCCUUCCAACAGCAAAAGACUCCUCCUGCCCCUCUGUGCAGGCAGGACAUCCUGUCUCCUCCUCCACCAACCACAACACCUGCAGCCUUCUUGCAAACCCUUCACAGGAAAGGAAAACAUUUCCUCUUUCUUUCAGUUGCUAUUUCAGCGUCAGGUGAAGGCCAUGGCUACCGCACUUAUUUGUUUCUGCUACAGAGAAUGUAUACCUGGAUCUCUCUUCUACUUUUUUGUCAUCUUGGGUGCUUUACCAGGUAGCGACUCUGCUGUUACAGUGACCCAAGAACCUCUAUUGACCAGCCUUUUGCAACAGGAGAAGCUUACAAUCAAAUGUUCUGUAAAUAGCCAAAAUUACAAUUUCCUCUGGUAUCGCCAGUUGCCUGGGAAGAUAGAGCUACAAGUGCUUGGGAACCUCUACAGUUAUGAAAGCAAACUUGCCGAUGUUGACUCCACUCUUGACGCCCGGCUGAGUGGGGAAUGGCUGGAUAGUGGCAAGGAAAAAAUGAACCUACAUCUCCAAAGCCUUCAGCCUGGUGACACGGGCCUGUAUCUGUGUGCUGCAAAGGACACAGUGAGAGAAGCAGGAACUGGGGCUGGCACAAAACGGAGUGCAGAGAACAGACACCCCAUGUGUGACAGAAUAUAAUAAUAAUAAUAAUAAUAAUAAUAAUAAUAAUAAUAAUAAUAAUAAUAAUAAUAAUACUUUAUUUAUAUACUGCCCUAUCUCCCAGAUGGGACUCAGGGCGGUUUACAGUCAUAAAAGCAAACACAAACAUUACAUAACAACAUAAUACAUAUUAUUAAACAAAGUAAAAUAAUACAAUUAUAACAAUAAAUCACACUUACAUGACCAGAUCAAGGGGAUGGGAACCAUAAAACCAAUAUAUUAAAAUGUAUCAUUUUAGGCUAGGGAAAUCUUGUGCAAUAUAUUCAGGCCCAGAAAUCGGUGGUAGUCCAAUGUAAUUACUCAAAAACCUGCCAACACCACCAGGUCUUCAGUUCCUUACGGAAAUUGGAGAAUGUAGGGGAUUGCCUGAUCUCUUUUGGCAAUGCAUUCCAGAGCCGAGGGGCCACUGCCGAGAAGGCUCGUUCCCUCGUCCCCACCAGCCGCACUUGAGACGGUGGUGGGAGCGCGAGAAGAGCCUCCCCGGAAGAUCUCAAGGUCCGCACUGGCUCAGAGGAGGAGAUGCGAUCACGGAGAUAGGUAGGGCCCGAGCCGUAUAAGACAUAUUUACCAGAAGACAUAUUUACCAAUGUCACAAUCAUGCACCAUCUUCCACUUCACUAGUUAGGUACACUGAAGCUACCAUUGUAUGUUCUAGUCAUCUCAGUAAAAAAUAGCUUCACCAUAAAAGUACUACCCAGAUGCUGGCACAGGGUAAUUGAGGAUGGUUUGCUACAAUCUUGCCCCAGUCACACUAUCCCUUCUGUUUCCAAAACCCACAGCAUCUCUGUCAAUAUACAGACUAGUGGGGCACCCACCAAAUAUAGCAACAACAUUGUCACCCUACUAGAUCUC